rnacentral:snRNA from 1 species
CUUGCCUUGAUUCUGUUUUCA